rnacentral:lncRNA from 1 species
CAUGGAAAGCCCCCUGGAGAGCAAGAAGAAGGCUGGAACCUGGGCCAAGGCAGCCCAGGACUGAGAGCCAAGUAAGCAUGGGAAUUGUCCCAGCUAUAGUUUCUGGGAAAAUAAAUAGGCCUACCUGUUGACUUUUGACCUGCAGACUCCGUUCUUGCAAAAGGCAAACCAGACCAUACACUUUGGGGAUUCCCGCAAGAAGAUUCCUAAAACUGAAACUGGGGACUCUAGGAGGACACACAUCAUUAAGGAACUGGGCUUUCCUCUGAAGAGACUACCAAUUUGCAUUCCACCUACAAUGGAUGAGAAUCUCCAUCCUCCAAAGAUGAAAAAGAGGAUAUUAUCAUUCUUUUUAAUCUUUGCCAUCUGGAAGUUGCAUUCUGCUGAGCCCAGGAGUUAGAGAACAGACCACAGAGAUUUAAGUUCUCACUUGCGGGAAGUAGAUUUCAGUCCGCAUCCCAGCUCUGAAGCCCCAUUUCUCCUGGUGUAAAAUGAGAAGUGUCAGACAUCAUGCUCCAGAGACAGGAAAACCAACUAGUACAUGGAACUAAUUGAUGGAACUUUGAGCCACCAACCUGGACCAAUCCAACCUGGAUUUCUGGGGAGAAAAUCUGUGCAAUAUGUCUCAUCAGCCACACUUCCUCCCUGGAGCCAGAAAAUGCCCUGCUGAUGAUGCUCUGGAGAGCGAG